GGGGGGGGUUGCAGCACCCCGAAGCGGGCUGGAAACCAGGUUGGGAGGUGCGGACAGACAGCACCGACGGGGACAGACAGACAGACAGACGGCCGGCCGGCAGAUAAUUGCUCCCCGAGGGGCCGGGGAGAGAGCGAGGAGGAGAGACUGAUAAUCCAGGAGGACAUGGAUACAAAUAUCAGGCCGCGGCGCUGAGUGCCUACUUAAUUUAUUGGGAACGAGCUGUUACUCAGCACUUUGCAGGAUUAGGCCCGCUGUAAUUCUGUUAUUUAAGGAGACACCGAGCCCAACGACGACAACAACCCACCCGGGGCCGUUGCGGAGACGGGCGGCGUUGGAGAGGGAGCACAUGCUGGUUUAUUUUUUACACUAUGGAAAGAAUGAGCUUUUAGGACACAAAGUCCUGGCGGCCGGCGAGGGGGUGGCGGGAGGGGAAAGAGGGGACAGCCUGGCUCCGGGCUGACGGACAGACCCAGGUUAGGGCCGCUGCCCGGCCAGCCGGGAUGAUGUAUGGCAGCAGGGGGGCUUCCCAAAAGGGCAUAGCCUCGCCGCCUGGCAGGUAGGUGGGUGGCAGCACCCAGCACCCCAUCGUGGUUGGGGACAGUCCGGACCGCCACUGGUGCCUGCUGGCCCUGCUCCGAGCUGUGUGUUAUUAAUUAUAUCUAAUUGCGUAGAGUGCCAGCCGCUUGCCCGAUGGGCUGCUCUUACCAGGACUUCAUGCAGGGGUGAGAAUUCAGCUGCCUUCCCCCUUCAAACCUUCUUGGCAUGCAUCAUGUGUCCCCCAAACUCAGUGUUUCCAGCAGGAUGCCAAACAGCUUGAACGGGAUAAAGGAAGGAGUCUUCCUGUUCUUGUCUUCACAUGGAUGGCUGAGGGAGGCAGGGACCUCUGGAGGUCACCUGGUCCAACCCCUAUUCAAGCAGUGUCACCUAGAGCAGUUUGCCCACCCUCUGGUCUUGAUGGACCCCGUCUUCCGUUCUACAAUUCCUGUGAUAUUUGACCCAUUUGUCUGCAUUUUCACUGACCAUUUGGAAAAAAA